GAUGAACGCUGGCGGCGUGCCUAAUACAUGCAAGUCGAGCGAACAGACGAGGAGCUUGCUCCUCUGACGUUAGCGGCGGACGGGUGAGUAACACGUGGAUAACCUACCUAUAAGACUGGGAUAACUUCGGGAAACCGGAGCUAAUACCGGAUAACAUGUUGAACCGCAUGGUUCAACAGUGAAAGACGGUCUUGCUGUCACUUAUAGAUGGAUCCGCGCCGCAUUAGCUAGUUGGUAAGGUAACGGCUUACCAAGGCAACGAUGCGUAGCCGACCUGAGAGGGUGAUCGGCCACACUGGAACUGAGACACGGUCCAGACUCCUACGGGAGGCAGCAGUAGGGAAUCUUCCGCAAUGGGCGAAAGCCUGACGGAGCAACGCCGCGUGAGUGAAGAAGGUCUUCGGAUCGUAAAACUCUGUUAUUAGGGAAGAACAAAUGCGUAAGUAACUAUGCACGUCUUGACGGUACCUAAUCAGAAAGCCCCGGCUAACUACGUG
rnacentral:rRNA from 1 species